AGAGAGAGAGUGUACUGGGCGUAUCCUUCUGAGAAUACCGGUGAUGUGCCCCCUUAUUUUAUGUUGGCACUUCACCGUAUCUAUUUCACUAACUUUCCGAUCCUUCCGAUCCCUUCUCUAGUUAGUGAAAUCCUUUUGUAUUCUGGAUUAUGUAUUUCUCAGAUGGGUGCCGCCUUUUUCUUUUAUGUCAGGGGCUUCAUUAAUAUUCUCAGGGAUGCUGGCAUAAUCCCAACUGCUCGGCUGUUCUUCCACUUCUUUACUUUUCAAAAUCCGAAGAAGGGCAGCCCUUUCAUUGCAUGUGCCAGCCGUGCCU
rnacentral:lncRNA from 1 species